GGGGGUGAGGACGAUCUGGCUGCAACAUCUGUCACCCCAAUGAUAGCCAGGGUUGAUUUGGCUGAUCUGGCUGGCUGGGCGGGUGUCCUCUUCCUCCCUCACCGCUCCAUGUGCGUCCCUCCCAAAGCUGCAUGCUCGGUAGAUGAUGAUGGCCUUCCCCAAAUAGGGACGGACUGAUCUUUGGUCAAGGGUAUAAGAGUAACUGCGCUUCCCUGCUAGAACCUCCAAACAAGAUCUCAAGGAAACAGUUGAGAGUUAAAUAAUCACGAGGGACCCAGUUAGAAAGGGGUUUCAGUUUUG
rnacentral:snRNA from 1 species